rnacentral:rRNA from 1 species
CCACAGAUCAAACGUGGGUGGCCUGCGCCCGCAGGUUGAGAUAUGACCGUAGCAGCUCCGCCRGGAGUCUGGUAUGCUAGUUCCGUAGGUGAACCUGCGGAAGGAUCAUUA